rnacentral:tRNA from 1 species
CAAAUUAUAACUUAUAGUAGGUAUUAUUAUUUACAUUAAUAGUUUAAUUGUGCGAAUCAAUUUAAUUUGA